GUCAGCAGCCGCGGUAACACCGGCGGCCCGAGUGGUGAUCGUGAUUAUUGGGUCUAAAGGGUCCGUAGCCGGUUUGGUCAGUCCUCCGGGAAAUCUGAUAGCUCAACUAUUAGGCUUUCGGGGGAUACUGCCAGACUUGGAACCGGGAGAGGUAAGAGGUACUACAGGGGUAGGAGUGAAAUCUUGUAAUUCCUGUGGGACCACCUGUGGCGAAGGCGUCUUACCAGAACGGGUUCGACGGUGAGGGACGAAAGCUGGGGGCACGAACCGGAUUAGAUACCCGGGUAGUCCCAGCCGUAAACGAUGCUCGCUAGGUGUCAGGCAUGGCGCGACCGUGUCUGGUGCCGCAGGGAAGCCGUGAAGCGAGCCACCUGGGAAGUACGGCCGCAAGGCUGAAACUUAAAGGAAUUGGCGGGGGAGCACAACAACGGGUGGAAGCCUGCGGUUUAAUUGGACUCAACGCCGGACAACUCACCGGGGGCGACAGCAAUAUGUAGGCCAAGCUGAAGACUUUGCCUGAAUCGCUGAGGAGUGGUGCAUGG
rnacentral:rRNA from 1 species